GCUGGGUAUGGUGGUGCAUACCUGUAGUCCCAACUACUAGGGAGGCUGAGGUAGGAGGAUUGCUUGAGCCCAGGAGGUCGAGACUGCAGUGAAUGGAGAUCAUGCCACUGCACUCCAGCCUGGGCAACUGAGUGAGACCCAGUCUCCA
ensembl:misc_RNA Metazoa_SRP Metazoan signal recognition particle RNA